GCGCCUGUAGCUUAACGGCAGAGCUACUCACUCUUAAUGAGAAGGUUGGGGGUUCGAUUCCCUCCAGGCGCACCC
rnacentral:tRNA from 1 species